GACAGAGGGUGCAAACGUUGCUCGGAAUCACUGGGCGUAAAGGGCGCGUAGGUGGUUCUGUAUGUCUACCGUGAAAGCGUACGGCUCAACCGUAUUUAGUCGGUAGAAACUGCGGGACUUGAGGCUGGGAGGGGCUGGUGGAAUUCCCUGUGUAGCGGUGAAAUGCGUAGAGAUGGGGGAGAACACUCGUGGCGAAGGCGGCCAGCUAGACCAGUUCUGACACUGAGGCGCGACAGCGUGGGGAGCAAACAGG
rnacentral:rRNA from 1 species